CGCAUCUGUGCAUGCAGCAUAUCAAUAAGCGGAGGAAAAGAAACUAACAAGGAUUCCCCUAGUAACGGCGAGUGAAGCGGGAAGAGCUCAAAUUUGAAAUCUUAAAGGGUUUCCCUUUACGAAUUGUAGUUUAAAGAAGUGUUUUCUGUUGAGGUUUUGGUAAAAGUUCUUUGGAAUAGGACAUCAUAGAGGGUGAGAAUCCCGUAUUUGACCUUUACUUUCAACUUUGUGAUACACUUUCAAAGAGUCGGAUUGUUUGGGGAUGCAGUCCAAAAUGGGUGGUAAAUUUCAUCUAAAGCUAAAUAUUGGCGAGAGACCGAUAGCGAACAAGUACCGUGAGGGAAAGAUGAAAAGAACUUUGAAAAGAGAGUUAAACAGUACGUGAAAUUGUCAAAAGGGAAGCGUUUGACACCAGUGUUGUUUUUCUGAAAAUCAAUUAAAGAACUGUUUAUGCUAAGUUGUUUAGACUUUAUCAAGCUAUCUGUUUAGUUUUGAGCUUUUCUUUAAUGCACUUUUCAGUUAACAAGUCAACAUCAAUUUCUUUUGCUGUAAAAAAGCUUGAGGAAGGUGGCUUGAGAUUCGUCUUAAGUGUUUAUAGCCUCUUGCCUAUGCAGUCGGAGAGAUUGAGGUCUGCAGCGUAGAUCCUUCGGGGCUAAAUGCAUUUGUGCUAAGUUAUAGCAUUCUAUAGACAACUUGUUGACUAUGAUUUGUCUUGUAGCUUACUCGCUUAUGUUAUUUUACCUACGCUUAGGAUGUUGAGUCGUAGAGCACGCAG
rnacentral:rRNA from 1 species